rnacentral:rRNA from 1 species
AGUGAACGCUGGCGGUAGGCCUAACACAUGCAAGUCGAACGGCAGCACAGUAAGAGCUUGCUCUUACGGGUGGCGAGUGGCGGACGGGUGAGGAAUACAUCGGAAUCUACUUUUUCGUGUGGGUUAACGUAGGGAAACUUACGCUAAUACCGCAUACGACCUACGGGUGAAAGCAGGGGAUCUUCGGACCUUGCGCGGUUGAAUGAGCCGAUGUCGGAUUGGCUAGUUGGCGGGGUAAAGGCCCACCAAGGCGGCGAUCCGUAGCUGGUGUGAGAGGAGGAUCAGCGGCACUGGAAGUGAGACACGGUCCAGACGCCUACGGGAGGCAGCAGUGGGGAAUAGUGGACAAUGGGGGCAAGCCUGGUCCAGCCAUACCGCGUCGGUGAAGAAGGCCUUCGGGUUGGAAAGCCGUUUUGUUGGGAGAGAAAAGCAGCAGGUUAAUACGCCGCUGUUCUGACGGUACCCAAAGAAUAAGCACCGGCUAACUUCGUG